rnacentral:rRNA from 1 species
GAUGAACGCUGGCGGCGUGCCUAAUACAUGCAAGUCGAGCGAACGGACGAGAAGCUUGCUUCUCUGAUGUUAGCGGCGGACGGGUGAGUAACACGUGGAUAACCUACCUAUAAGACUGGGAUAACUUCGGGAAACCGGAGCUAAUACCGGAUAAUAUUUUGAACCGCAUGGUUCAAAAGUGAAAGACGGUCUUGCUGUCACUUAUAGAUGGAUCCGCGCUGCAUUAGCUAGUUGGUAAGGUAACGGCUUACCAAGGCAACGAUGCAUAGCCGACCUGAGAGGGGGAUCGGCCCCACUGGAACUGAGAACCGGUCCAGACCCCUACGGGAGGCAGCAGUAGGGAAUCUUCCGCAAGGGGGGAAAGCCUGACGGGGCAACGCCGGGUGAGUGAUGAAGGUUUUCGGAUCGUAAAACUCUGUUAUUAGGGAAAAACAUAUGUGUAAGUAACUGUGCACAUUUUGACGGUACCUAAUCAGAAAGCCACGGCUAACUACGU